rnacentral:tRNA from 1 species
GUUUUAGAAACAUCAGUGGCCAACAGUCGUCAGGAUUGUUGAGCUGCAUUGGCGGGAUUUCGCCGUCUUCGUUUCUCUAUCUUCGCGGACGAACACGCGCCGGGGCUGCGUUGUGCGAUUGCAUUUGGCGCUAGUCGCCGGUUGCUGCACGCCAAGACCCUAGUCCUUGAUAGGAUAGCGUUAGGGGCUUGUAGCUCAGUUGGUUAGAGCGCGCGCUUGAUAAGCGUGAGGUCGGAAGUUCAAGUCUUCCCAGGCCCACCACUUUCAUCGAGUGAGCAUUCGUCUUCUGGUUACGGGGCCAUAGCUCAGCUGGGAGAGCGCGUGCUUUGCAAGCAUGAGGUCGUCGGUUCGAUCCCGUCUGGCUCCACCAGAUGGUUUGAUCAUCGACUGAUCGUGCACCUAAAUCGUCCGCGAAACAUCACUUCGCACUUGCUAGUCCGGAUGGACAGCAGGCUGCGUGAUUUCUGACAUCGUAAAGAGGAGAUCGAUCCGAGUUGGAUCGUGCAGAAGAUUUCUGCGCGAUACUUCAUUAUCUCCGGAUCAUUUCGGCGCUCACGCGUCCUUCAAGUCAAACUUGAAAGACGGGCGAGUUGUAAAUGAUCCUUUUAGCGAAGCUUGACCCGCCUCGCUAUCGGAACGAUCUUGACGAUGCAAGGCUGGUCUUUCUAAUCAUUUGUCCCGCUGCAGAUAGCCGUUCAUCGAGGGCGGCGGUGGCCGCAAUGGCAGUUCUGCAGACAACAUCUGCCGAGUGUGUGGACAUUGAUAAUGAGAGCAAUCAAG